UCCGAGUAUUCUAACAAUGUUUCCCCUUUGUCGCUAACUCGCUGCUUAGGAUACCAAUUUCCGAUGUACAUACACCGCCGUUGAGUCCGAUCAACGAAUGAAUGUGAAUCUGUUGGUUCGAACUUCGUUUGAACCCUAGGGCACGCUAAAGAGGUUUAUGGAGGAGAAAGGUUUUGCGGCUUCAUUGAUGAAGGAUGGAUACCAAAGCAAGUGAGAUCCACACGGGUGGAGCCUCUUCAGCCAAACCUCAGGUUAUUGUUAGAACUUUUACUCCUAUUAUUUUAGACGUUGAGCGUUCGUACUUGUGAUUCACCUUCUCCAGAACUGGAUUAUGAUUUCUUUGUUGAAUGCGUCAAUUUGUUCAAUCUAAUAUAUCUUACCGGAUUCAGCUGCAUGAAUUACGUAUGUUGUAAAUGCAGAUUGUCCAAUUCAUAAUUGACUUGAUGAAAUGUGAUUUACAUCAGUGUUGGUAUUACGUUCUUUAUAUUUUUAUUUUCUUUUUCCAAGUAAGGUUCAAUCCAAGUUUUCUAUGGAUGAAUAAGAUUAUGGGAUUCCCCUGUGUAAUUGUGUCUGGUUGCAAUGCUACCCUCCAUCAGCGCUGGUUUAAUGAUCUGCGGGUUUAUUUACCAUUUUUGACAAUUUGAACUGCCAAAACCGCCGCCUCAACUUCAAUCACCACCUCUUCUAUUUCAUGACUUGCCACCAUGAGUGCUGCUCAUCAGCCAAUUUUUAUCCUGCAUUGUUUUCAACGUCACGGAAGCAAUUCCAUUCAAUUUCCCAUAGAUAAACCAUGCAUUUGUCACUGUAAACCUCUAUGAGAUUUUUUUAAGUACUCUGCCACUAGUAGAAAUUUAGCCAGUCUUGCACAAGUUAGGCAGUCAGAUUCUCUUCCUUGGAAGGGAGGUUCAUAGGUCCAACAAAUAUUGGAAGUGGGAUAUGAAGUGAGAGAGAGAUUACAGAUGUCGGAGUGGGUAAUGAACUCCUUGCUAAUGGAGGAAUGAUCAGAUACAUAGUCAUGAUGACAAUUGGUCCUGAACACAUCUGCCAUUCUGUAGAUCUACAUGCUAAUCUUACUUUCUGGAGGAAUGGGAGUCGUGUUUGUGAAUAAAGCAUUGAUUUUACUUCUGUAUCGCCUGUAAAGUGUGCUGAGGUCAUUAAGCAUCUAAAGAGUUCUGUUACUUCUGUAACAAUCUCCAAACAGGUAAGAUGUAUUUUGUACUAGUUUUUUUGUUAGUAUUUACCAUUUUAAACCGUAUUCCCAGCUAGUUAUACUAAGCUGAAGUUUCUGAUAUUUCAAAAGCUGGUUGGACUUUGUGCAGAAGUUUUGUAUUUUUCUGGUGAGUCAACAUUGGAUCGAUGUCCUGCGAUGGCAUCUCCUGUCCUCAGGAAUGUCAAUAUUUUCUGUUCAUUAUCUGUUGAGAUUUUGUAGGUGAUAUGCUAUGCUGCUGCAAAUAUGGGUAAGCAUCCCUUUCCUUUUAGGCUUCUGUUACCAAAGCACUUAUCCUAAACAUUUUGAUGUUGUCUACAUGAAUUCAUAAGAGAAAACUAAUCGGAUUCAUUUAUAUAGAGUUUUACUACGCUGGUUGCCAACCUACUUCUACCCUAUCCUUUAUCCAUCUUUACAUAAUUGAGAAAAACUGAAAAUGUGCAUGCCAUAAUUUAUUGGACCCUAUUUUAUCUCUAAGAAGGAACUGUCAAAAUAUGUGUUUUCAUGCACUUUUGUAUUUGCAUAUUCAUGGCUCGUUGAUCUUUGGUUUCCCUCUUUCUUUCUGUCAGUGAAUACAUGCGUCUUUAUUGGUCAUAAAUUGUAAGGCAUAUGAUUUCAUCUUAUGGGCGUUAAGUCUUACCUCAAUGGCAAACCUCCCACCCCAUGACCAUGAAAUCUUGAUUCCAAAUCCCCCAACCCCCAAAAACUAAUCUAUAAAAAAUAUUUCUUUUUAUUCUAUAGAAAUUGAUUAUAUGAAGAGUGAGGUCUUUGGAGUAUAAUUUAUAGUACAUUGGCAACUUGAGGGGUUUUUUUUGUGUGUUUCUGUUGUUCAAUGGCAUAUAUUGGAAUUGUGUUCAACUAGGAUUCCAAUGCAUCGAUGACAGAUAAUUGGUUUGCUUUAUAAUGUUAUUUUACGUUCCAGGAACUGCUAUAAUGCUUUGCAAUUGUAUUUUCUUACCAUAUCAUAAUUCAUUUGUCUGAAAAACAUGUUGAUAAUCCUCAAUGAUGUGAUGUUUAUAGUUUAUAGUAUGUAAUACGUUGUUUGCAGCGGUUGUGGUGGUUGUUGCUUUUGUUGUCAAUUUGAUCAUAUAUUUGU